rnacentral:rRNA from 1 species
AUUGAACGCUGGCGGCAGGCUUAACACAUGCAAGUCGAACGAGUGGCGGACGGGUGAGUAAUGAUUGGGAAUCUAGCUCAUGGAGGGGGAUAACUACGGGAAACUGUAGCUAAUACCGCGUACCAUAGGAUGAGCCCAAGUGGGAUGAGGUAGUUGGUGAGGUAAAGGCUCACCAAGCCGACCAUCUCUAGCUGGUCUGAGAGGAUGACCAGCCACACUGGGACGUAGACACGGCCCAGACUCCUGCGGUGGGCAGCAUUGGGGAAUAUUGCGCAAUGGGGGCAACCUGACGCAGCCAUGCCGCGUGAAUGAAGAAGGCCUUCGGGUUGUAAAGUUCUUUCGGUAGCGAGGCGUUAACUACAGAAGAAGCACCGGCUAACUCCGUGCCAGCAGCCGCGGUAAUUC